UACGGGGGGGGUAAGCGUUGUUCGGAAUUACUGGGCGUAAAGCGCACGUAGGCGGAUUUGUUAGUCAGGGGUGAAAUCCCGGGGCUCAACCUCGGAACUGCCUUUGAUACUGCAAGUCUCGAGUCCGAUAGAGGUGGGUGGAAUUCCUAGUGUAGAGGUGAAAUUCGUAGAUAUUAGGAAGAACACCGGUGGCGAAGGCGGCCCACUGGAUCGGUACUGACGCUGAGGUGCGAAAGCGUGGGGAGCAAACAGG
rnacentral:rRNA from 1 species